rnacentral:rRNA from 1 species
CAGUCGCCACGGUAAUACGAAGGGUGCAAGCGUUACUCGGAAUUACUGGGCGUAAAGCGUGCGUAGGUGGUGGUUUAAGUCCGUUGUGAAAGCCCUGGGCUCAACCUGGGAAUUGCAGUGGAUACUGGGUCACUAGAGUGUGGUAGAGGAUAGUGGAAUUUCCGGUGUAGCAGUUAAAUGCGUAGAGAUCGGAAGGAACAUCUGUGGCGAAGGCGACUAUCUGGGCCAACACUGACACUGAGGCACGAAAGCGUGGGGAGCAAACAGGAUUAGAUACCCCAGUAGUCCCUGUCUCUUAUAC